rnacentral:rRNA from 1 species
CCUACGGGAGGCAGCAGUGAGGAAUAUUGGUCAAUGGACGAGAGUCUGAACCAGCCAAGUAGCGUGAAGGUUGACUGCCCUAUGGGUUGUAAACUUCUUUUAUAUGGGAAUAAAAUGUUCCACGUGUGGGAUUUUGUAUGUACCAUAUGAAUAAGGAUCGGCUAACUCCGUGCCAGCAGCCGCGGUAAUACGGAGGAUCCGAGCGUUAUCCGGAUUUAUUGGGUUUAAAGGGAGCGUAGGUGGAUUGUUAAGUCAGUUGUGAAAGUUUGCGGCUCAACCGUAAAAUUGCAGUUGAAACUGGCAGUCUUGAGUACAGUAGAGGUGGGCGGAAUUCGUGGUGUAGCGGUGAAAUGCUUAGAUAUCACGAAGAACUCCGAUUGCGAAGGCAGUUCACUGGACUGCAACUGACACUGAGGCUCGAAAGUGUGGGUAUCAAACGGGAUUAGAUACCCCAGUAGUC